UAGCUCAGUGAUAGAGCAUCGGUUUCUUAACUCAAAGGUUGUGGGUUCGAUCCCCGC
rnacentral:tRNA from 1 species